GCAGAAGCCAUUCUCUGUCCCGGCUGUGACAAUGGAGCCGGGGCUGGGGCCUGGCUGCUACAGUGCCCGCCCGGUGUGCAGGAGACCCCAUUCCAUCCCCAGCCCCACAAGAAGAGUAGGUAAACAGGCCAUGUGGACACCCAACUGUUCUCUGCUCCCUCUUCCCUUCUGAGGCUGUUGCUAGCACUCCUUAGAAGAAAGCUGCUUCCUGCUGCUUCCUGUAAGCGCAUCAGUCAGCCUCUCAAUCGACAGGCAGGCAGAGGGAGCGGAGGACUCUUCCUACAUCUGCUCAGGGCCCAGCCCAGUGUACUCCUCAGCAACAUGGCACCUCUCAGGGUGAUGCGCUGCAUUUGGGUCCCUUCCACAGCACCAC
rnacentral:lncRNA from 1 species